UACAGAGGGUGCAAGCGUUAAUCGGAUUUAUUGGGCGUAAAGGGUGCGUAGGUGGUAAAGCAAGUAAGAUGUGAAAGCCCCGGGCUUAACCUGGGAAGUGCAUCUUAAACUGCUUAACUAGAGUAUGGUAGAGGGUAGUGGAAUUUCCGGUGUAGCGGUGAAAUGCGUAGAUAUCGGAAGGAACGCCAGUGGUGAAGACGACUACCUGGACCAAUACUGACACUGAGGCACGAAAGCGUGGGGAUCAAACAGG
rnacentral:rRNA from 1 species